rnacentral:tRNA from 1 species
CAUAGGUUAGUUUAUAAUUAAAAUAUUGGUUUUGGGGGCCAAUGAAAGAGAUUUCUACCUUUGU